CAUCACUACGCUAGAUGCAUAUCAAUAAGCGGAGGAAAAGAAACUAACAAGGAUUCCCCUAGUAACGGCGAGUGAAGCGGGAAGAGCUCAAAUUUGAAAUCUUAAAGGGUUUCCCUUUACGAAUUGUAGUUUAAAGAAGUGUUUUCUGUUGGAGUUUCGGUAAAAGUUCUUUGGAAUAGGACAUCAUAGAGGGUGAGAAUCCCGUAUUUGACCGUUACUUUCCAGCUGUGUGAUACACUUUCAAAGAGUCGGAUUGUUUGGGAAUGCAGUCCAAAAUGGGUGGUAAAUUUCAUCUAAAGCUAAAUAUUGGCGAGAGACCGAUAGCGAACAAGUACCGUGAGGGAAAGAUGAAAAGAACUUUGAAAAGAGAGUUAAACAGUACGUGAAAUUGUCAAAAGGGAAGCGUUUGACACCAGUGUUGUUUAGUUGAAAAUCAAUUCAAUAAUUUUUGAUUUUGAGUAGUAUUGACUUCAUCAGCUUGCUGCUUUCUUUUCAGAAAUUAUUGAAUGCACUUUUCAGUUAACAAGUCAACAUCAAUUUCUUUUGUUGUAAAAGGGUAAGAGGAAGGUGGCUUACGCUUCGGCGUAAGUGUUUAUAGCCUUUUACCUCUGCAAUCGGAGAGAUUGAGGUACAUGCAGCGUAGACUCCUUCGGGGUUAGAUACACUUGUGCUAAGCUAUAGCCUUGUAUAGACAACUUGUUGACUAUGCUCAGUCAUGUAGCUUACUCGCUUGUGCUAUUUUACCUACGUUAGGAUGUUGACACACGCGCGUGCUCG
rnacentral:rRNA from 1 species